ACAUCUUCCCAUAGCCAACCAGCCACACCUCAAGGGAGCCAUUGUGACACCAGGGCAAUGGGCCGAUUCAAAACCAGAGCCUCACUCAGGAGAGCAGCCCUGCAUCUUUACAAUCCAUAUCUUGCAAGGCUGCUCAGGAUCCAGUGCCAGCACCCUCUCUGGCUGCCACUGACUCACUCUGUCACCCAUGGCUGAGUCAGUCCUCCUGUCUGGGACCAUGAGACUACUCAUCUCGGAGGGCUCUUGUGAGGAACCACUCACAUCGUUAUGCAGACUCUGGUUGACGCACAACGCCUCAGGAAAUUUUCCACAAAUUGGACCAUCCAGUGUUUGAUGCACCUAUCUUCAGAGUUACAAUCUUAAACAAUUGAGCAAGAUGCUCUGCCCCCCUGGAAAUUCCAAGCUCCAAGUGCAGUUUACACAAAGAUGCUUUUGGGGCCUCCCCACCUUCUGCUUCUCACAGUUUUGUAAAACAAGGCAGCCAGGUUACUGGGCCUGAUAGUGCGUCAAGGUCUUUCCGUGAUUAUCCGUAAGGAACAGUGUGCCAUGGGUCACCGCCAUCCUUGGCAGCAAUGAAGAGAAGCUAAUGAAUUCCAUAGAUGAGAAACAAAUGCAAGGAGAGAGGCAAAAGCACUGGUUAAAACCUGAAUAAACAAUGGCACAGAAAUGA